GAAUCAUUUAUAGUUUCUUAUUAAGGUAUGUCCACUAACAUCAGUGUGGUGACCAAUGUCAGCAAACAUGCGCAAAUAUUUAGCAAAACCUAUCUCUAGUAGACAACUAACCCAUUAUGUCGACGAACAGGAUUACAAAAUCCUCAACAAAAGGCAAUCAUAAGUAUCCAAAAUCCACAAAAAAGGCAAUCAUAAGUAUUCAUCUGCCAAUGAAAUAGUUACAGUAGUUCACUACAUUGAAAACAACAUUGGAAGUAUUUUCAAAUAUAACCUAAAUGGCACAUACAUGAAGAACCAUCAUAAUCUUCUAACCCCUCUUCGUGUCAUCUGACUUGAACUUGGAAAGUUGGUUGUCACUUUACCAGAGAAAACAUCAAUGUAGACGGCAAGAACCAUGCUGAAAAAUUUAAAGAAAUGUGAUUAGCACUGACCAUUAUCACAUUCUUUUAAAAUUACACAAAUAAUAGCACAGAAAAUCACAUAUUGUCUGCAACAAUAUAGGCACUCAAACAGGGAUUACUUUGUUCUUCAUCCAAAAGAGAGCUUCUUUAUGGUAGGAUUUUAGAAUAGAAACAAGAGUACGUGGCUACCAUGCUUCCUAUUUUACAUAGCAUACACCAAAUAUUCAAAAUGGUAAAUUAGUUCCAAUGCAAUAGGAUAGUGUGAGUAAGAGUAGAAAUAGAAGGGCACUACUUCUGUUACCUUAAUGUCAUAUAUGUGGUGACCAUACUGUCAGCAAACAUGCGCAAAUAUUUAGCAAAACCUAUCUCAGGUAGACAACUAACCCAUUAUGUUGACGAACAGGAUUACAAAAUCCUCAACAAAAGGCAAUGGUAAGUAUCCAAAUCCACAAAAAUGGCAAUCAUAAGUAUUCAUCUGCCAAUGAAAUAGUUAAUCGGUAGUUCACUACAUUCAAAACAACAUUGGAAAGUAUUUUCAAAUAUAACCUAAAUGGCACAUACAUGAAGAACCAUCAUAAACUUCUCCCGCUCUUUGUGUCAUCUGACUUGAACUUGGAAAGUUGGUUGUCACUUUAGCAGAGAAAACAUCAAUGUAGACGGCAGGAACAAAAUGAUGCCCCAUUAGUAAAUUCAAGAUGCGAUUCCCCUAAUUCACUGGCUGAUAAGUACAAAGAGAAUAGCUGCUAAAUUCACUAUUUAAGUAUGGAGAAGUUACCAUUUCUCAAGAAUCGAGAAGAAUAUAAUAGUAGAAUCCCCAAAAACAUCUUUCUGAACAAUAAACAUUUUCUUCACUUCCUUCUCAUGUUCAUGAUCUCUCAAAAUAUAG
rnacentral:lncRNA from 1 species